ensembl:lncRNA
AGGAGAUGAGUGGAGAGGGGAGGAGAGAGGAGAGAGAGGAGUGGAUAGGGGAGGAGAGAGGAGAGAGGACAGGGGAGAGAGGAGAGAGGAAAGAGGAGAAAGGAGGUUUAAAGUCAUUCUGUUGUCCUAAUCUAAAGCCCUGCUGGCUCUCCUCUCCUCUCUUGAUCUUUCCUUUGUUUUCUUCAAGUUCUCUUUCUGUUUUACACUCCCCCCCCCCCUUUCUGUCCCCAGAGAGGGGGGGGUGGGAGAGAGAGAGCUUGUAUUCCAGCCAGAACCUGAGCUUUGGACUUGAGACCUGGACCAGAAUCAGGAGGGGAGAGAGGACCCAGGAAGACCGGCCUAUCCUGGAACUACUGGUCUGAUCAGCUGUUCCUUGCUGG